UACGUAGGCGGAAAAUUAAGUCAGUAGUGAAAUCCUGCAGCUUAACUGUAGAACUGUUAUUGAUACUGGUUUUCUUGAAUAUAGUUGAGGUAGGCGGAAUGUGUAAUGUAGCGGUGAAAUGCUUAGAUAUUACACAGAACACCGAUUGCGAAGGCAGCUUACCAAGCUAUGAUUGACGCUGAGGUACGAAAGCGUGGGGAGCGAACAGGAUUAGAUACCCUGGUAGUCC
rnacentral:rRNA from 1 species